CUUUCAGCUGGUGUCGGGAAAGUGGUUGCUACAAUACAUAAAGAAAUAAUCAUUUCAACACUUGGGCUGGAAUGCAGUGGAUGAAGAGUCCACACUAACCACCAGUCAAAGACACUGGUGCCCAGACUAAGGACUGAUUCUGAUGGACAUGCAGUCCCCACAUAUCCAGAACUCUCUACCCAGAUCCUUUGCAAUCUCCUUUUGCAGGAAUUCUCUUUACUAGAACAAUCUUCAGCUUGGAAAGGUCAGAAGAAACAACGAUAAGACAAAACCAAAGCCCAAGAUAAGCACUAGGAUUGGAAGAAUGACUCAAAAAAAAACCUUUAUUCUCACAAUCUGGGUAGAAGAAAUGUGAAUAUUUUGGAGGUGAAAAGACAGUUCUUUGAAACAGAUCUUUGAGGAGCCAGAGAACACAAAAGAUGGGCCACGGUGGUUUACAUUUCCAAAGACCAGAGACAGAUUCUUUCAAUUAUAAAUCAGAAAAUUGGAUGUGUUUUUGGCCAGC
rnacentral:lncRNA from 1 species